AGAAGAAGACUGUUUGGUUUUCGGAAAAAUUUGAGGGAUAAUGCAAGAGAAAGAAAAUAGAGAAGAUAUGCAAAACGAAAAAGAGUAAAGAAAAAUAAAAAUAAAUUUUAAAUCAUUAAAUUAUUUUUAUAUACUACUUCAAAUUUAUUUAACUUAUUUUAAUUGUUUGAUAUAAAGAUUAAAUAAUUUUAAAAUACACAAAUUUCUAACUAAUUUUAAUUAUAUUUGUUUUUUUUUAUGAUAAAAUCAAAUAUAAGAAAAUCAUUUUUUUUUUCCAGUUCUUAGUAGUUUCUAGGAACCAAACAUAACCAAAAGAUUUAUGAAAAAUAUUUUUCGGAUGAUCUUGAGAUUAGCCAUUGUUAUUUGAUAGUUGGUAACGAGAGCCCAUCAAAGCACUUUUAUUUGUAACAUUUUUUAGAAUCAUUUAGCUGAUUGCUUAAUUAUAUUGGUAGAAGCAAAAAGUAUUGCAUGGCAGUUAAACUAUUAAGUGUUAUAUUGGUAGAAGCAAAAAAAAUUAUGUUAUAUUAAGUUUAAAUACUGAAUUUAAUUUGAUCAUUUUAAAGAGAGAUAAUGAUCUAAUUUUUGUAAGAAAGCAUUUUUCAAAAAUAGGAAGUGUUUUUAAACUCCUUUCAAAAUCAAUCCCAAUCAAACUUCGAGUCAAAUUAUGACUAAUCAUUUGAAUGAUUACUUUUGUGUUUUAACUACACAAAUUUUAUCCAUUAAAUUUUUUAGAAAACUAAAAAUCUUUCUUUUUUUUGUUUGUUCUCUUAUCAAUGCCAUGGUUAACUUGAUAGUAGGAGAGGGGUUGGCCAAGUCGGCCUAACCCUUAUACUAAUCUUCUACUCAUAGCUUCAUGAACAAGGAUAGUUGAGGAUAACUUCGAGUCAAUAAAGGACAAAAUAAUAUGCACUUUAAAAGUCGGAUUUGUUAUAAACAAAUGUCAUGUUAUUAGCCAAUACCUCUAAUUUUACCUUAGAUAUCUUGUUUCAAUGAAAACAAAAGUAGUUUACUUUAGUCAUUAUUCAUUGUUUUAUUAUUUCUCAAACUUUCAUCCAAAAUUUUCUCUCUCUCUCUCUCUCUAUAUAUAUUAAUGAUAUCAAUAUUCUCUUUGUUUCAGGCUCGUUAUUUAGAGGAAAGAGCAAAGAAACAAAGAGAGAUUAAUAAAUAAAGAAAUAAAGUAUAAGAAUAUUAUGAAAGAAAAUCAAAGUAAUUAGAAUAAUUUCUAGUGUAUAUUCAAAUGAGAUUUGCUUUUUCUUUAGUGAGUUUCUAGAUUUAUUAAUGAAAGUAUUAUAAUGGUGUAAAAAUAUAAUAACAUAACAAAUUUCGAUGAUGAAAUUUUUGUGAGGAGGGAAGAGUGUAACAUUCCCACCUUGAAGUCAAGGAUAUUUAUGUAAUUUGCAAAUUAAUUUUUUUAAAAAGGAAAAGGUGAGGGAAGAGUGUAACAUUCCACUUUGAAUUUAAGGAUAUUUAUGUAAUUUACAAAUUAAUUUUUUUAAAACGAAAAGAUGAGUGAGAUAUUUUUGGUUUUGUAACCACUCACUAUUUUUAUCCCGCUCUAAUUUCUCCUCAUUAUCAAAAAUUGAAAAGACGAAAUAGUGUAUAAAAGCAAAAACCAAAAAGGAAAAGAAAAUUUUAGUAUAAAACGAGAUUAGGUUUAAAUAUUAAAUUAAAUUGAACAUGCAAAAUGUUAUAAAUUGAAUUGAAUAAAAUAGGAUAAUCAUUGAAUUUAUUUUUGAGAUAUUUAAAAACUUAUAAUGUUUUAAUUAUGCUUUAAUUAUUUGAAUCAAUCGAGGACAUGUGAAAUAAUCUUAUAGCCCUUGGCUUCUAAGUUCAGGGUGUCACAUUUGGAUUGUUAGAUAUACAAUGAGGCUAAUAAACAAUAUAUAAAUUAAAUAUCAAUUUCCCUAAAUAUUUUACUAAUAGACCAAAAAUUAAUAAAUAAAAACUUAUCACUAAUAUUUAUUUAAUUAUAAUUCUUUUUCCAAAAGAAAUAAAAAAAAAUUCUACAUCGCGAUUACUUUUCAAAAUAGACACCAAAUUAAUUUUUUAAGUCACAUCAGUUUCCAUUUUAUAAUUUUGUUUAUGUUAAAAAAAGUUUUAACUUUAAGGUUAAAAUCAUAAUCACCAACUAUAACUUUUAUAUAAAAAAUAAAAAAAAUAAUAUAUAGACCCUGAAGUGGCAUGAACGUACUACUUUGAUGAAUAUUUUCAAAAUAAAUCAAGAUUAAUUUUUUUUUUUUUUCAAAAAAGAUUACUUUGAUUGCAAGCUCAGAUCGAGAAGUAUAUCUUAAUAUAAAUGAAAUGGAUAUUAAUACAAUACCAUCAAAUAAUAUAUGUUUAUAUGCAUGUGCAUUAUAACUUAAGUUUUAUAUAAAUAUACAAUGGGUUUGGGCUUGGUUCUGUUACUUUAGCCCUUAACCUAAGCUCGACCCAAAUUUAUAUUGGGUUGACAUUUUUUUGCUUAAGACCGGCCCAAAUUUCAAUUUAAGCCCAACACAAGAAAAUCCGGCCCAUCCUUGGGCCUUAAAACCCAGAUAGUAGAGCAGCCGUUCCGCAGCGACAAGAGAAGAUGUCAAUGAGCGAAGAUGAGGAGGCGGAAAGACGUCGCUUAAGGCGCCAGAGGGAGAUUGAAGAAGCCCUCGAAGUCAAGUCUCUCAGACGCAUCAUCAGCGCAUAUCUCAAGUACUUUUCAUCUUUUUCUAUUUUUGCAAUUUUAUUUUAUGUUUGAAUUUUUCUGAAAAUAAUUCAUUUCUUACUUUGAUUUCUACUUAUCCAAUCAGAGGUUUCGAUGCUUUCAUUUUUCACUUCAGUUGUUUUUUUUAAUGAGCUACUGAUGCAGUAGGGGCUUUUGAUUCAUUUGUUUUAUUUUUUAAGGCUACGUUUGGUUGGUAAGAAAAACUGAGGGAAAGGAAAAAAAUGGUACUAAACGGAACUCUCGUUUGAGCUUGAUAAGAUGUUUGUUUUUCAAUUGGCUUAAAUAUGUAUUUUGGCCUUUUAAAAAUAAAAUAAAAUAUUCUUAUCAAUGAAAUUGAGAAAUUUUGAUUUAAAUAUUAUUUAUUUUUUCCUUUUUUAGCCUAUUUAUUGAUUAUUUUUUUCUAGAAUUUUCUUUUGGUGAUUUGGCAAUGGGGGAACGGUUGGUUCUCUCCCCCAGAGGCUGCUUUUAGUUCUCGGGAAAAUGCGAGGGAAAAUAAAAUGCAAGUUUCGGUCAAAUAAUAUUUUUCUUAAAAUGGUAAUCAUUUGAGACUUUGGUUUUUUACUUUUCACAUAAAGUUCUUCUAUUGCUUCAGUUUUUCAAUUUAUCUACAUUGCCGGUUUUUUUUUUAUCAAACAUGUGGGUUCUGAUGAACUUGAAAUGUUCUAUUUUGAUUUUUAAAACCAUAAUUUUGGUAAUAAAUCACUUUAUUUAUUUAUUUAUUUUUUUAUCUCUGGGUUUUUUAUUGUUGUUCGUUUGGGUGGUUUGAUCACUGGGAAAAAUGUUGGUUCUGUUUGGUUCUCAAGAAACUGUGAUGGAAAGGAAAAAGAAAAUAAGAAAAGGCGAAGCUUCAAAAUUGCUGAAUUUUCUACCUUUUUGUUCUUUCCCUUGUUGUUAGUGGGGUCCAAAAGGAGCCUAAAUCUUAAUUCUGAUAUUAAGUUCCCAAUCUUUCUUAGAUAAAGUUGUCAUUGAUUUGUGUAAAGUAGAGAUGGAAUCAGAAAGUUGGCAUUUGCUUGGUGCUGAUUAUCUUUGCAAUUGAUACUUUUAUUAUUUUUUGUAUAGCCAAAAAAUUUCUCCUUUCAGUUUAUAAUUUUGCAAUUCUGGAAAAUUUCGGGUUAUGUAUUUUGUGAAUAGAGCUUUGGAAAUAAAUGUAUAAAUAUUCUAUGAAAAUUGACUGUAUGAAAUAAGUUAUGAGUAGUUUAAUCAUAUGGGAUCUGCUGGGUUAUGUAUUUUGUGAAUAGAGCUUUGGAAAUAAAUGUUUAAAUAUUCUAUGAAAAUUGACUGUAUGAAAUAAGUUGAGUAGUUUAAUCAUAUGGGAUCUGCUUGUUGUUUUUCUAAAGAAUCAAACUAUUGUUUCUUAUAUUUUAAAAACUGAGAGCUCAAGGACAUUUUUCAAAAAAUCGUAUCCGUUGUCAAACAAUCUCUUAGCUUUUGAAAUUUAAAAUCACUGCUAUUAUUCUUUGUUUCUUUAGUUUGUCAUGUUGAAAGUUUUUGUAUUUUAGGAGAUAGUUAUGUCCAGGCUGAAUUCUAAAACAAUGGCUAUGUUAUUUGUAGAGAGUGAAACAAACUGCAAUGCCAAACUGCAUUACAGAAUGCCAGGGGAUGUACCAAAAAAACCAAAACUACAAAUAGAACUAUGAUUAAUUGGAUGGGCAGAGUGAGAACAUACUGGGAUGAUGAAAAAUCAAUUGUCUCUUAUAGUUAGACUUUUAAAUUACCUUCCAAUCUGGAACCUGAUGUUUGAAUUACAUAAUCCUUAAUUGAUACCAGUACCACAAAGAAGGAUGCAUUAAAUAUUGUGAUACAGAUGAUAUGAUUGCCAUUAAAAUAACUCAUCUAGCAUUGGAACAUUGCCAAGGGGCACUGCUCUUUGUGCCUUCCUGUUAUCAGAUCAGACUGUUAAGCCCAUGGAGAUGGGUUGUAAGAGUAUGCUCCAACCUUGGUGUAUGGUAAUGAACCAAGUACAGGACAUCUACCAAACCAGAAAGCACCUAAUAACUCAUCAUUGCUGGAUAUAUAUAUAUAUAUAUAUAUAUAUAUAUAUAUAAUUAAGAUAAUAAGGAUGCCAAGGUGGAGUACCAAUAUGUGUCAGUUGCAGGGAAUAACUGGAUGCAAGGUUUUGUCAGAGUGAUACGAACCUGGAGUCAAGUUAUUGCUGUUUUGGAGGCUAUUUUGAGAGUGGAGCUUAGCAGGGAUAGAGUGUGUUUUAAGAUGGAGGUUAGCUAGAGAUGGUUGCUUCAUUGUUAACUUUUUCCUGUAGGUUGAGGAUAGGGGGAGAAUUGCAAAAUUACAGUAUCUGGAUAGCAGGUUAUCAAACCGAAUAUUCGGGUAUCAAAUUUGGUUUAUUUUACGUUGCUUCUUAUCUAAAUCUACUAGUUUCUUCAUUAUUUGUAACAGUUCUUUACUUGGGAGGUUGGGAUCUCUCUAUUCCGUACAUAUUUGUUCCUGAGUUUUUUGAAAUAAAUAAAGCGGGUGAAGUCUUUGGAACGACAAUUGGUAUCUUUAUUACAUUAGCCAAAACUUAUUUGUUCUUGUUCAUUUCUAUCACAACAAGAUGGACUUUACCUAGGCUGAGAAUGGACCAACUAUUAAAUCUUGGAUGGAAAUUUCUUUUACCUAUUUCUCUAGGUAAUCUAUUAUUAACAACUUCCAGACAUUUCGGGUUAAGAAGAUGUGAAAGCGCAUUUUGCCGAGUUCCUUAGAGAGAGUUGUCUCGCGCCCCUAGGUAUUCUCUACCUACCCACUUGUGUCGGUUUCGGGUACUACCUGGAAUGAAAGAACAAAAAUGGAUUCAUGAAGGUUUAAUUAAUGAGGAGUAGUGAUAUUAGACAACCCGCCCUUUCUCUUUUUUUUUGACUCUGUGGGGGAAAAAUUUGACUAUGGUCUAGGUUAUGUGCAGAGGGCAAACUUUGUUUAACUGUGUAACUACCCUACUUCUGGAGACUUGUGGUCCAUGCUUCUUUAUUCUCUUUGAUAUUGCAUGGCUCCUGCUGUCCUGAAGUCUUCCCAAAGAGGAGGAAAGAAGUUAUGCUCAGACGGCAUGAUAAGUUUGUCCAAUGGGAUGGGAUGAAGGUUUUAUGUUCAGCUCCCUUUGCCUGGCAUGAUGUGUUUGGCUUGAACCAAAUAUUGUGUCUUCAUUGAAGGGAUUGAGAACUUGGAAAGGAAAGCAAUUAUUAUGCUGCACCUCUGUUUAUCUGGAAUGGAC
rnacentral:lncRNA from 1 species